AUGAACGCUGGCGGCGUGCCUAAUACAUGCAAGUCGAGCGAACAGACGAGGAGCUUGCUCCUCUGACGUUAGCGGCGGACGGGUGAGUAACACGUGGAUAACCUACCUAUAAGACUGGGAUAACUUCGGGAAACCGGAGCUAAUACCGGAGAAUAUAUUGAACCGCAUGGUUCAAUAGUAAAAGACGGUGUUGCUGUCACUUAUAGAUGGAUCUGCGCCGCAUUAGCUAGUUGGUAAGGUAACGGCUUACCAAGGCAACGAUGCGUAGCCGAACUGAGAGGGUGAUCGGCCACACUGGAACUGGGACACGGUCAAGACGCCUACGGGAGGCAGCAGUAGGGAAUCUUACGCAAAGGGCGAAAGCCUGACGGAGCAACGCCGCGUGAGUGAUGAAGGUCUUCGGAUCGUAAAACUCUGUUAUUAGGGAAGAACAAAUGUGUAAGUAACCAUGCACGUCUUGACGGUAACUAAUCAGAAAGCCACGGCUAACUACGUG
rnacentral:rRNA from 1 species